UGUUAAAGAUUAAGCCAUGCAUGUGUAAGUAUGAAGACCAAGUAGGAUGAAACUGCGGACGGCUCAUUAAAACUGUCAUAAUUUCUUUGGUUAAAAAUAUAAGGAUAACUCUGUUAAUUGUAGAGCUAAUACUUGAAACGUCGAAAGACAACCGCAAGGUUAUAAACAUAUCCCUUAUGAAUAAGGAUAUGAAGAGAAUUGAAGUAAGUAAACUUUCACAAGUAACCAAUGAGAAUGUCAGACCUAACAANCCAGAAGGUUUGGUAGUGGCAAACCUUAGUGACAACGGGUAACGAGAAAUAAGGGUUUUACAUCGGAGAGGGAGCAUGAGAAACGGCUACCACUUCCAAGGAAGGCAGCAGGCGCGAAAAUUACCCACUUCAGACUCUGAGAGGUAGUGACGACAAAUAACUAAAGUGUGCCACAAAAGUGGUACACUUUUAGGGAUGAACCGAACGUAAACAUGUCGGUGAACGCGAUUGGAGGGCAAGACUGGUGCCAGCAGCCGCGGUAAUUCCAGCUCCAAUAGUGUAUAUUAAAGUUGUUGUGAUUAAAAAGCUCGUAGUUGAUACAAACAGAAGAUGGUUCAAAACAGGUUCAGCUACGGUUGUCUCUGUUGCGGACUUGAUCUUCAAAGUGCAUACACAAUCGAAAGAUUAUGCAUGCGGUUUACUUUGAAUAAAGAAGAGUGCUUAAAGCAAAGCAAUAGCUAAUGCAAGAUAAAGCAUGGGAUAAUAAUGAGGGGAUCUCGAGAAAACCAUGACUAUAUGGCAGACAAGAGAUAACACAAAAAGGGAUAAGAGAAAGUGAUGACGUGGAUCAUACGGAAGCGGGAGAGGUGAAAAUCCAUGAUCGCUUCAGGAUGAACAAAAGCGAAAGCAUUCCACGAAGAACUGUUCAUUAAUCAAGAACUAAAGUUAGGGGAUCGAAGACGAUUAGAUACCGUCGUAGUCCUAACCAUAAACUAUGUCGACAAAGGAUUGGGAAGAAUCACACAGUGCGAGUCAGCUCCGGCUAAAAGCACUGGACACACUCUCGCCAGAACUUAAGGGAAACCAAGUUAAUGGACUUCAGGGGGAGUAUUGUCGCAAGACCGAAACUUAAAGGAAUUGACGGAAGGGCACACCAGGAGUGGAGCCUGCGGCUUAAUUUGACUCAACACGGGACAACUUACCAAGACCACACACAGCGAGGAAUGACAGACUAAGGGAACUUUCACGAUAAUGUGGGGAGUGGUGCAUGGCCGUUCAUAGUUCGUGGAGUGAUUUGUCAGGUUUAUUCCGAUAACGAACGAGACUUUGAUCUUUAAUUUACACAGUUGGAUUUAUUCAAUUGUGCUCCUUAAUGGAGUUAAUAAAAUAAAGAGACAGGCUCCAAUAUUCUGCUGCACACCUAGUUGUGUGUGGUGAGAACAAGGAGCAGGAAGAUGAGCAAUAACAGGUCUGUGAUGCCCUUAGACAUCUUGGGCUGCACGCGUGCUACAAUAGCAUUCAUAGAGAGUAUGAACCAGUAAUAGGUCACCCAAUUCGUUGGGUGGCAACUAGACUGACUACCCGAAUCUGAAAAGAGGAGGAAAACUCUAAAGGAAGCUUUAACAGGGACUAGUGAUUGGAAUUAUUCGAUACGAACGAGGAAUUCCUUGUAAAAUUGCGUCACUAUCGUAAGUUGAAUAAGUCCCUGCCCUUUGUACACACCGCCCGUCGCUCCUACCGAUUGAGUAAAAAGAUGAAGCUCUUGGAGAUUGCUAAAGUCAAAAGGAACUAAAUCUUUUUACUUAGAGG
rnacentral:rRNA from 1 species